CCUACGGGAGGCAGCAGUGGGGAAUCUUGCGCAAUGGCCGAGAGGCUGACGCAGCGACGCCGCGUGGGGGAUGAAGCAUUUCGGUGUGUAAACCCCUGUUGCUCGGGACGAACGAUCCUUUUCGAGGGAUGUGACGGUACCGAGUGAGGAAGCACCGGCUAACUCCGUGCCAGCAGCCGCGGUAAUACGGAGGGUGCGAGCGUUGUCCGGAAUCACUGGGCGUAAAGGGCGCGUAGGUGGUUAGAUGCGCCGGUGGUGAAAGCGCAGGGCUCAACCCUGCGUCGGCCAUCGGGACGGUCUGACUGGAGCACUGUAGAGGCAGGUGGAAUUCCGGGUGUAGCGGUGGAAUGCGUAGAGAUCCGGAAGAACACCGGUGGCGAAGGCGGCCUGCUGGGCAGUUGCUGACACUGAGGCGCGACAGCGUGGGGAGCAAACAGGAUUAGAUACCCUGGUAGUCCACGCCGUAAACGAUGGGCACUAGGUGCUUGGGGGAGCGACCCCCUGAGUGCCGACGCUAACGCAUUAAGUGCCCCGCCUGGGGAGUACGACCGCAAGGUUGAAACUUAAAGGAAAUUAGACGGCGNGAGAGNGCGAGGACGACGACGAGGGAGGAGG
rnacentral:rRNA from 1 species